UGCCGGUGGACAAACCGGAGGAAGGUGGGGAUGACGUCAAGUCCUCAUGGCCCUUAUGGUAGGGCUUCACACGUCAUACAAUGGUCGGUACAGAGGGUUGCCAAGCCGCGAGGUGGAGCCAAUCCCUUAAAGCCGAUCGUAGUCCGGAUCGUAGUCUGCAACUCGACUACGUGAAGUCGGAAUCGCUAGUAAUCGCAGAUCAGCAUGCUGCGGUGAAUACGUUCCCGGGUCUU
rnacentral:rRNA from 1 species